rnacentral:lncRNA from 1 species
AGCUCCAGGCACCAUGGUAGCCAGCUGCAUGAGUUAACCUCCUCGAGCUCCUCAGACACUUCCACUUUGCAUGGCAGAGGUUGCAGAUUCUGUAUUUUUUUAUUUUUAUUUUUUUUAUUUUUUUGUGGUGAGCUAUCUUUUCUAUUAAAGACUGAGGUAAAGUAAGAUAAGAAAAGGUCUCAGAUUUGUACAACUUCUUUUAAUGACAGGACUCUCUAGAACAAUACCUAGGCAGACUCCUGCAGAUACUGGCAAAGGCCACAAUGCCUGCACCCAGCUGUGCAUCUGCACCAGUGCACUGUCAUGUUAUCCCUGUGAAUCCAUGCAAAGAAGAGAUUGAAAGCAAGGCAAGGCAUGCCUAUGUCAGAAAGCAUGUUUAUAUUUAAGAUUUCAGCAUGUCUGAAGUUCUUUGAUUUCUUAAAAUAGAAACACUUAUUCUUGACCUGUGUGAAUCCAAUGUUUUCAAAACUUUUCUCAUCACCGUCUCCACCUCCACAGUUUUCCUGCUCAGCCUUUCUUUAAGCCUAUAUUUCUGCUUGCUUUUCCUUUCUUCUUCACCAACACAACCACUCAUUUUAUGUUGUGUGUGAAUUCAGCUUCCUAAACAUGUACCCUGAAAGCUUUGUUCUUCUUCUGUCUCUCCUCUCCAGACUAUGAGAAAGCAAUACCAACUAUGCCUGUCCAUGUCCCUCCAAAUGGCAGCACAGCCUUCUGGUGUGUCAGCCACUCCUCCCACCUUUGUGUCAUCAGCAAACUUGCUGAGGGUGGGCUCUGUUGCAUCAUCCAUGUCAUCUAUGAGUAAGUUGAACAAGCCUGGACCAAGUACUGACUCCUGGGGGACACUGCUAGCUACAGGCCUCCAAUUAGGCUGUUCUGAGCACAACCUUCUGAGCUCCACCAUCCACCCUGUUCUCAGUCCACCUCACUGUCAACUCAUCUGUGCCACAGUUCCACAGUUUGCCUUAGUAGAUAGGAAAGGAAUCUGUGACCAGACAAUAGAUAUUGCACACAGCCCAAAGGAGAAUGCUCUGAAUCAUCAGGACAUGAGGAAGGAAUGCUCCAGUUGUCCCACAGAGGGAGAGAGCAAGACACUAAGGAAGAGUUUGAGAACAUCGAUCAUCUUCAUCUUCAAGACAAUAAGGAAGCCACUAAGCACAGUAAAAAAUAAGGAUAAAAGUGUCCAACUUUUAUACGAUUCUCUGCAACAUGAAAAAUACUUUUGCCUUUAA